GCGUCACGCGGUUGUUAAGAUAAUCGUCAUGCAAUUCCUUGUCGAGAAAUGUGCCUAUUUUCUUCGAAAGUACGUAAUGCCACGAUUCCAAUGCUAUACGAUACUACAAAUAACAAGUUAAUUACCUCACAUCUCGGUAAAGACUAGUAAUGUUGUACUUCUUGUUGACUAAAUUCGUGUUAAUGUUGGGUUUUUGAGCUAGCGCCCAGUAGACUCCAUUCACUCCGUGAAGGAGAGCGAUCCCUGUCCCAGAGUCGCCCAGAAUGCACUGCGUGGACCAAUGACUUAGGCUUGUCAUCUCUUCAAAAGUAUAUCUGCCGUUGUGAUUUCAACUCCACUCUGGGAGACACAUCGAUCUGCAGGUUGAACAUGAUCUCCAGGCUCAAAGCGUCAGUCCACCAGCUGAAUACUCAGUCAGACUGGUGGAUGGGACCACUUCCUGUUCUGGGACAGUGGAAGUCUUCUACAGAGGAGAGUGG